rnacentral:rRNA from 1 species
GUAGGGUGCAAGCGUUAAUCGGAAUUACUGGGCGUAAAGCGUGCGCAGGCGGUUUUGUAGUCUGACGUGAAAUCCCCCGGGGCUUAACCUGGGGAAUUGCGUUGGAGACUGCAAGGCUGGAGUCUGGCAGAGGGGGGUAGAAUUCCACGUGUAGCAGUGAAAUGCGUAGAGAUGUGGAGGAACACCGAUGGCGAAGGCAGCCCCCUGGGUCAAGACUGACGCUCAUGCACGAAAGCGUGGGGAGCAAACAGGAUUAGAUACCCUGGUAGUCCACGCCCUAAACGAUGUCUACUAGUUGUCGGGUCUUAAUUGACUUGGUAACGCAGCUAACGCGUGAAGUAGACCGCCUGGGGAGUACGGUCGCAAAGAUUAA